rnacentral:rRNA from 1 species
GAUGAACGCUGGCGGCGUGCCUAAUACAUGCAAGUCGAGCGAACAGACGAGGAGCUUGCUCCUCUGACGUUAGCGGCGGACGGGUGAGUAACACGUGUAUAACCUACCUAUAAGACUGGGAUGACUUCGGGAAACCGGAGCUAAUACCGGAUAAUAUAUUGAACCGCAUGGUUCAAUAGUGAAAGACGGUUUUGCUGUCACUUAUAGAUGGAUCCGCGCCGCAUUAGCUAGUUGGUAAGGUAACGGCUUACCAAGGCAACGAUGCGUAGCCGACCUGAGAGGGUGAUCGGCCACACUGGAACUGAGACACGGUCCAGACUCCUACGGGAGGCAGCAGUAGGGAAUCGUCCGCAAUGGGCGAAAGCCUGACGGAGCAGCGCCGCGUGAGUGAUGAAGGUCUUCGGAUCGUAAAACUCUGUUAUUAGGGAAGAACAAAUGUGUAAGUAACUAUGCACGUCCUGACGGUACCUAGUCAGAAAGCCACGGCUAACUACGUG